AGAGCCGCAGUGAAUAGGCCCAAGCGACUGUUUAUCAAAAACACAGGUCUCUGCUAAACCGUAAGGUGAUGUAUAGGGGCUGACGCCUGCCCGGUGCUGGAAGGUUAAGAGGAGUGGUUAGCUUCUGCGAAGCUACGAAUCGAAGCCCCAGUAAACGGCGGCCGUAACUAUAACGGUCCUAAGGUAGCGAAAUUCCUUGUCGGGUAAGUUCCGACCCGCACGAAAGGCGUAACGAUUUGGGCACUGUCUCAACGAGAGACUCGGUGAAAUCAUAGUACCUGUGAAGAUGCAGGUUACCCGCGACAGGACGGAAAGACCCCGUGGAGCUUUACUGUAGCCUGAUAUUGAAAUUUGGCACAGCUUGUACAGGAUAGGUAGGAGCCUUUGAAACGUGAGCGCUAGCUUACGUGGAGGCGCUGGUGGGAUACUACCCUGGCUGUGUUGACUUUCUAACCCGCACCAUUUGAUCAUGGUGGGAGACAGUGUCAGGCGGGCAGUUUGACUGGGGCGGUCGCCUCCUAAAGAGUAACGGAGGCGCUCAAAGGUUCCCUCAGAAUGGUUGGAAAUCAUUCGCAGAGUGUAAAGGCACAAGGGAGCUUGACUGCGAGACCUACAAGUCGAGCAGGGUCGAAAGACGGACUUAGUGAUCCGGUGGUUCCGCAUGGAAGGGCCAUCGCUCAACGGAUAAAAGCUACCCCGGGGAUAACAGGCUUAUCUCCCCCAAGAGUUCACAUCGACGGGGAGGUUUGGCACCUCGAUGUCGGCUCAUCGCAUCCUGGGGCUGUAGUCGGUCCCAAGGGUUGGGCUGUUCGCCCAUUAAAGCGGUACGCGAGCUGGGUUCAGAACGUCGUGAGACAGUUCGGUCCCUAUCCGUCGUGGGCGUAGGAAAUUUGAGAGGAGCUGUCCUUAGUACGAGAGGACCGGGAUGGACAUACCUCUGGUGUACCAGUUGUCGCGCCAGCGGCAUAGCUGGGUAGCUAUGUAUGGACGGGAUAAGUGCUGAAAGCAUCUAAGCAUGAAGCCCCCCUCAAGAUGAGAUUUCCCAACUUCGGUUAUAAGAUCCCUCAAAGAUGAUGAGGUUAAUAGGUUCGGGGUGUAAGCGCAGUAAUGUGUGUAGCUGACGAAUACUAAUCGAUCGAAGACUUAAUCAAAUU
rnacentral:rRNA from 1 species